AAAAAGAGCGGUGGGCGGCGAGAGAAGAGAGCGACCGAAACGAGAGCGAGAGUUGUAACAAAUAGAUAUGUAUAUGUAUAUACAGUAGAGGUUCCGAAAAUAGUGCCCCCAUAUCGCAUUUGAAUUCUACAAACUAUUAAGUUUUAAAUUAAGUAGGAAAAAAUGUUAUCAAAUCAUACAAAACCUAAAAGCUAUGUGGUUUGAUCUACAAAACAAAGUUUUCUUUACUUGGCCUGCGAUGUAUUUUCAUAUAUAUUUUUAUGAUGCGCUGUUUGCAAGGGUAGCGAUAAACAUACUUUGUACUUAUGCAUGUAUGUACAAGCAUAGAUACGUAGUUCGUCAUAGGACAACGAAAACAAUAACUCGAUCUUUUUGCUUACAAACAAAUUUAAAAAGCAGCCCGGAAGAGAAACGCCUCUGGUUGCAAAAAUCCGGUUUCAAAUCGAAUGCACAACAAUUACCGGCCAUGUUUAUUCAUCGAGUCAAGUCGGUCGAUAUAAAUUCAUAUUUAUUGAGAACUCCAUGGCAAAGAGAAAAUAUUAGCUUUGUGUUUGCCGAUCGAGUUCUUGUCUUUCGAGGGGUGUAAGUAUUGACACACUAGUUUAGGCCAGAUUAAGGAGGUAACCGAUGCCGAUACCUGUGUUAUCACACAACCUGGCCAAUAAGCCCACGCACACCAACGCAUCGGCGGCGGAAAGAGAGCGGCGAUAAAGCCACAUCAUAUAGGACACAGAACCAGUUUUGACAAAAAGUCGCUUUGUGGUUGUGCCCGACACGCCGCAAGCAAAACAAAAACAGCAACAGGAAAAACAAUAACAAAGCGACAAACCGAGAAGCGGCCGAAAGAGAGAGACUAAAGUUUAAGAGAGCGGCACAGGAAAAGACCGGUGCGCGAGAGCGUUACAUGAUGCAAUUAAGCUCUUGUAAAAAGAGAGUACACAGAAAGAAAUAUGAUUGUGGCAUUUGAUUAAUUUUUAACGGUUAGAGCAUAGUUUUACAGUGGCACACAACUAAAGUUAUUUUUCUUUCAGUGCAGAGAGCCCUGUUUCAUUGUUUUUGUACGUUUUGGAGUGCGAGAGCGCGAUGCCCGAAAAUGUCGUGAAGGACGUGGAGCAGAGGUGCGAGGGAGAGAGAUACAGAUUCCAACACCAAUGCAGCGGAAGGUGGUGUGAUGUGCCUGAGUUCUGUUUAAAAGCAAACAAGUGGAAAGGGCAAACAGCAAAAAAAACUACAUUUAACUUGCUUUGUUUUCGUUUUUGCACAGUAAACAACAACAUAUGCCUCA